GAUUCCCCUAGUAACUGCGAGUGAAGCGGGAAAAGCUCAAAUUUAAAAUCUGGUAGUCCUCUGGCUGCCCGAGUUGUAAUCUAGAGAAGUAUUAUCCGCGCUGGACCGUGUAUAAGUGUCCUGGAAUGGACCAUCAUAGAGGGUGAGAAUCCCGUCUUUGACACGGACUCCCAGGGCUUUGUGAUGUGCUCUCAAAGAGUCGAGUUGUUUGGGAAUGCAGCUCUAAAUGGGUGGUAAAUUCCAUCUAAAGCUAAAUAUUGGCGAGAGACCGAUAGCGAACAAGUACCGUGAGGGAAAGAUGAAAAGAACUUUGGAAAGAGAGUUAAACAGUACGUGAAAUUGCUGAAAGGGAAACGCUUGAAGUCAGUCGCGUUGGCUGGGGAUCAACCUUGCUUUUGCUUGGCUUACUUCCCAGUUGACGGGUCAGCAUCAGUUUUGACCGGUGGAUAAAGGCUAGGGGAAUGUGGCACCUUCGGGUGUGUUAUAGCCCUUGGUCAU
rnacentral:rRNA from 1 species